AACCUGUUGUGGUGAGAAACAUCAUUUUUUAUGAUUAAUUCCCCUUGGCGAAGGGUUUUCAAAAUAUUAUUGGACGGAUAAAUUUGUCCUUCAGAAAUAGAGUAUCAACUUCAGUUUGUGUUUCUACAAGAUCAUUAUGUUGUUGCGUGAUUAGAGCUUGUGCUCCUCAAGAUGGUAUAAAACUCAUUUUCACAGCCUUUUUUU
rnacentral:lncRNA from 1 species